UGGCUGAAAAAAUAAAGCUCGUGUUGCAGUUCCACCUUAUGCAUCAGUUUGAUUUUUUAUCCUAUGGAAUCAGUCAGAUUUGAUUUGAGCUUAUAGAUGUCAUAUUGGUUACCUGAGAUAUCUCUAUCGGCGAAACGAAGAAAUGUUUUUGUGCUUAGCUUUUUGAUUAGAUAAUUGAAUUGGUUUGCUGAACUCCUUUUUGCAUCUUACAGUUUUGUGCUCAUAGUUGAUUCUUCUCCAUUGUGUCUUCAUGUUUUUGUCUUGCAUUUGUUAAGUGGUUCUUAGUAAUCUGGAUGGGAUUUUCUACACGUCAAAGCAGAAGUGCAUGGAGAGGGAAGAUUAGCAGUAGGAAAGGAACAUUAGUGAUGAUUUUUAUGCAAAACAGUAAUUAAUUGAUGCCCCUUGUUACUUAUGAUUUCAAUGUGUGACUCAUUCCUGUUUUUGUUUUUUAAUGUUCCUAAUUCCCAAACUUAUUGAUUUCCACAAUAUCUAAAAACCAGAGCAUCCCACGUUCCUUAUAUAUGACUGGCUGUAACUAACACAUAUUAGGAAUGCACAGCAUGAUCUGUUAUGACAAUAGAUAAAAUUUGAGAUUUGUCAACAAUUAAAUAAUAGAAGAUAAUAAUGUUAACCUACUCAAAAAAAAAAAAAAGAGUCAGCUUAGUAAGUUAAACUAUGUAUGAGAAACAUGCGGUUUGGUGUUGAUGGGAGAUGGCAAACGCUAACAAGGGGUACUUUAGUAUUGAAGGUGUUAUUGCCAAGCUGUUUGGUUUUCUUCAUGUUGCUGGGAAAGAUGUCAUAUUGUUAUUUAGAACGAGUGAUUAGAAAGGUGGAAUCAGUGGGGACUUGCUAGGGUUCCAAUCCCAACUCACCUGGUCCAACUGGGGUGAGUUUGAGUCAGAGUAGGGAAUUUUUAAUGCGAAACUGAUGCAGGGAGAAAAUAAAACCAGAAAAAUAAUAAAUAAAAUUAAUAAACAAAACUACUAAAGAGAUAACCCAUUUAAAAAAUAAUGAAUAAAAUUGAAUUAUCUUUCUGAAUUUUCAUUUGCGUCAGAAACUUAAAAAAUAUUAAAAUUAGGGGGAUAGGCAAAAGUCCACCGGGCGACUCCGGUGUCACUCGAGCUGGCUCGGAUUAGAACAAGGUAAUUUUGCAAUGAAAAAUGUUGGAAUCGUCCUAGUCUCUCUCUCUCUUAAAUUUUGUUUUAAUUUCUUUGUUAAAAGUUCCCCCCCAACUCAGACUAGGUGACUCAUGAUUGGGACCCUAGCGAGUCUGUAGCUAAUUUCCAUCUUUUUAAUUACUGAUUUAGAAUGCGAAAAUAAGUUAGUAUUCCCUUAAGGAGUCUAAAAUGUGUAGGAUGUGCUUGUUUGGGACACCAAUUGUUAGUUGGUAUUCCCCUUGGGAACCCACAAAUGUCUUUUUUUAGAAUGUGGCAAACUUGCCCACAUUCAGCAAAUAGUUGAGAACAUCUUUAGACUCUUGGAUAAGCAUUUAUUUCCUCUAUUAUUAAAUCUCUCCACACUCACCUGUUGGAACUAAUAGACCCCUUAGAAUUGAGAAGCUGUUUCCCCAUUUCACUAAAGGAGUCUAUAGUAUGCUUAUGUGAAUCUAUUCACAGUUCUUCGUUCAUGUAUAUAGCAAACAAAGCAGAAUAGUCUAUCAUGUUUGGUUGCAUCCUAAAUCCAUGUUAUGACACUGAUUUUCUUGAAUUUACCAUUUUCUCAGUAUCAAAUAUGGACAUGGCAGUUAUUUUAAAGUGUCUACAUGUACAACCAUAUCUCCAGUAUGACAAGUAACCCUAGCCUGUUCUCCUUCACCUUCCCAUCACAAGAUGGAUGUAGGUAUUGUUAGGAUAUGGAUAUCUCGGGUUCAUAUUGAUAUACAUCAUUAUGGAUGUAUGGGUAUAUAUCUUUUGAUAAGAUUAGGUAUCUAGUUACUUGGUCAUCAAGUUAGUUUGGUGAUACGGCCUCGUACUGUUUAUCUCUAUCUCCAAGAAUCAUACCAUUUAUAAUUGUGUGAUUGUCCUUUAUAUAUAGAGGUACUUAUUGAUAUAAACAUUCAUUCAAAAUAGUGAAGAUGUAGCCAGUUGGGCUUUGGAUCUGUGGACGUAAGGCUUCCGCCUGAACCACGUAAAUGUUGUGUUGUCUCUUCUUCUCUCCCCAUGGCAUGUAUGCUCCCACAAAUUCUAAUAUAGUAUCAGAGUGAAGUAUUUUUCUCUUAAUGUAAUAGGGAUUAGUUUUUUUUUUUCCUGAUAGCUCAGUGGGGAAAGAUCCCUUUACCCUGGCGAUAGUAGGACUCGAGCCUGGGAUCCAGGUACCGCGAAUUAUAUCGCUUGACGUGCCGGCCAGUUUAUAGCUAGGCUUCUUGGCUAUAUAGUGAAGAAAGCUCAGGGAGUUGAGAAUCAAUCAGAGGAUCACGCUCCAAAUAUGAGGAAUCUCUCCACAACCCCAGUGAAUAAUCAGCACCAACUCCAACUUCUGAAGCAGGCCACAACUUGUGUUCUAUCAACCCAACUCUCUGGGGCACGUUAUUUAACAGUUGAAGCAGUGACGCUCUUUUCAAAAAGUGAAAUGACAUUGAUCAACCAGAAACUUGCGGAGGUGUCCCACAACUGCUUCAAGAGCUUUGAGAACCUUUGGUAACUCUCCUUGGAUUUCUGCAAUUCACAAACAGGCCUUCGAUCAUACCCUAGGCUUUCUUUACUGUAUAGGCAAGAAGCCUAGGUAUAAACUGGCCGGCACGUCGGGCAAUAUAAUUUGUGGUGCCUGGAUCCUAGGCUCGAGUCCUACCAACGCCAUGGUAAAGGAAUCUUUCCCCACUGAGUUAUAAAAAAAAAAAAACUAAUCUCUAUUACAUUAGGGAAACAAUACUUCGCUAUGAUACCAUGUUAGAAUUCGUGGGAGCAUACAUGCAAUGGGGAGAGAAGAAGAGAGAACACAACAUUUACGUGGUUUAGGCUGAAGCCUUACGUCCACGGAUCCAAAGCCCAACUGGCUACAUCUUCAAUAUUUUGGAUGAAUGUUUACAUCUAUAAGUACCUCUAUAUAUAGAAGACAAUUACAAGAGAUAAAUAUGAUAUGAUUCUUGGAUAUAGAGUUAAAUAGUAGUAGGCUUUAUCACCAAACUAACAUGAUGACCAAGUAACUAGAUACCUAAUCUUAUCAAGAGAUAUAUAUCUAUACAUCCAUAAUGAUGUAUAUCAAUAUGAACCCGAGAUAUCCAUAUCCUAACAGGUAUCGAUGGUUAAAAUGAAAAGGAAGAUGGAUAUUGGCUUUUGAUGUUGGUAUGCAUGUCUGUUAUGUGAUCCAAUGAUAUUCUUCAAAGCAGUUGUUGUUAUAUGGGGAAUUUAACCCCCAGAAGUAGGAAUUUUCUCAGGCCAGUGGUUCCACUCGCUCUCUCUCCACUCUGAAAUUGAUUCAAGAAAACUAAUAUGCAAAUGUUACAUAUUUCAGGCUCUUGGAUAUUUGUUAAUAGACUGCUCUCAUGAGUCAUGGGUUAAAAUCGUUUCCAAUAGUUGUUUAGUCCAAGAGGUAGCCUAUGAUUUGAAACGGUAUACCAGUAAAAUUCAAGAUCUUGAAAUACAUAGUAUUUGCAUAUUAGCGUCACCUUUGAGCCAAAUUCGCAAGAGCUGGGAGCGGAAAUGGAACUGCGCUCUGGGGAAGAAUCUUGUUUCUUUGUAUGCAAUUCUUGAUGGGUAAAUGCCCAGAUCAGUGCAAGCCUGAUUGUACUACCUGUUGAGCCUGUGAAAGAGGAAUUGAGUUGUUACUUGCAUUCCCAUAUUAUUGGGAUGGAAGAUCAUAGAUUCCCAUGAGGUUAAGGGGUCUCUCUUUCCAAUCGCCAUGGAAUGGCGGAUGGAUGUUGUGUGACACUCCAUCCCCUAGUUUGUUAGCCAUUGCCAUGUUAGACACCAUGUUCUGUUUCUUUGGUGAUUGUUGCCAGUUGGUCCUCAUUGUGGGCUUUGAGCACCUCAUGACAAUGAAAGACUGACAAGAACGGAAACAAAAUGUUAGUCAAGAGAAAAAUCAUAAAAAGAAACAUUUGGGUAAUACAGAACACCAUGAUGAGAGAGAGAGAGAGAGAGAGAGAGAGAGAGAGAGAGAGAGAGAGACUUUGUGGGCCAUAAUAUCGUGAUAAUGUGGUAGUUGUCUAAAGUCUCUCAAGAGUAAGAGCAAACCUAUUGUUUGUUGCAUUAAAACAGAGCUAUUGAUUGAUAAGCUUGUCAAUCUGAUUGCUGUUUCGUAAUAUUUCCUUAUCAUUUUUUAAAUUUUUUUGAGAUUAUAGCUAAAGGAUGAGUAAUUUUUGGAGUGAUUUUUUUGGAGAUGACUAUUUAUGAACGCAACCUCUGUACACGAAAGAACUGGUGAUUUCAUUAAAAGUUGUAAAUAAAAGAUGAAACAAAAAGCAGGGCUAUUUUCUCUUGUUUACCAGACUCAAGGAGAUUGGCAACAAUAACAGGCUUGAUUAGUUUUAUAGGUUCUCUCUAGUUGGCACAAGAAUGGUGGAAAGUUGGAAAAUACAUUCUGCGGUUGUUAAACCAAAUUUAAGGUCAAGAAUUCAACGAUGCAGACUUCAGAUAGUCAUUUUCUGAAUUAAUAGGUCAUCAAUGGAGGAUUGACCAUUCUAAGAAGGCUUCUGCUGCUUCUGCUUCUUUCUCUCUCUGCGCGAUUGCUUCAUGUGUGUGAGAGUGUCUUUGUGUGCUUGUGUUAUGGUUGUGAAAACAAUCUUAUAAGGUUCUUAUUUUUGUUUAUUUGGUCAUGGAUGC
rnacentral:lncRNA from 1 species